ACGUUAGCGGCGGACGGGUGAGUAACACGUGGGUAACCUACCUAUAAGACUGGGAUAACUUCGGGAAACCGGAGCUAAUACCGGAUAAUAUUUCGAGCCGCAUGGUUCGAUAGUGAAAGGUGGUUUUGCUAUCACUCAUAGAUGGACCCGCGCCGUAUUAGCUAGUUGGUAAGGUAACGGCUUACCAAGGCGACGAUACGUAGCCGACCUGAGAGGGUGAUCGGCCACACUGGAACUGAGACACGGUCCAGACUCCUACGGGAGGCAGCAGCC
rnacentral:rRNA from 1 species